CCAUUCCGAACACGGAAGUUAAGCCCGCCAGCGCCGAUGGUACUUGGGUGGAGACGCCCUGGGAGAGUAGGACGCCGCCGGAU
rnacentral:rRNA from 1 species